AGUGAACGCUGGCGGUAGGCCUAACACAUGCGAGUCGAACGGCAGCACAGUAAGAGCUUGCUCUUACGGGUGGCGAGUGGCGGACGGGUGAGGAAUACAUCGGAAUCUACUUUUUCGUGGGGGAUAACGUAGGGAAGCUUACGCUAAUACCGCAUACGACCUACGGGUGAAAGCAGGGGAUCUUCGGACCUUGCGCGAUUGAAUGAGCCGAUGUCGGAUUAGCUAGUUGGCGGGGUAAAGGCCCACCAAGGCGACGAUCCGUAGCUGGUCUGAGAGGAUGAUCAGCCACACUGGAACUGAGACACGGUCCAGACUCCUACGGGAGGCAGCAGUGGGGAAUAUUGGACAAUGGGCGCAAGCCUGAUCCAGCCAUACCGCGUGGGUGAAGAAGGCCUUCGGGUUGUAAAGCCCUUUUGUUGGGAAAGAAAAGCAGCAGGUUAAUACCCCGCUGUUCUGACGGUACCCAAAGAAUAAGCACCGGCUAACUUCGUG
rnacentral:rRNA from 1 species